AAGGCCAUUUACAAUUUAAAGGAAAUAAAAAGAAAAAAUAAAAAGAAAAAACUGAUGGUGGUGUCGUGUGAAACCAAGAGCCAAGAGAGAAGAAUAAGAGAGGGAAAGAAGAGAAAUAAAGCUAGAGAGAGAAAAAGGUUUUGGUAUUUUGCUUUGAACAUCAAGUGGUUGAUUCUCAUCCAUUUUAGCUCAAAUUUUGGGUGGUGAAUCUUUCCAAGGCGCUCUACCAAUCUACCAGUUCAGAUUUGGCGAUUGUCCUCUCUAAGAUGUUCUUCUAUAAUACCCACUUGAUGAUAUCAGAGACAAUGUAGAGGCAAGGAAGAUGUUGAUUGUAUUUGAGAAUUACUGGUAAUUUCAUUUCUGAUAGACACUAAGACUCUGCAACUUCAUUCAAGUGUUGCUGCACCUUCAGCAACUGACGAGCAAACCAGAAAGGCUGCUUCUUUAAUGAAACGUAUAGACUUAAGAGAUUUUUCAGUAUUGCCAAUUCGCUAACGCUGCUUUGAAGCAACAUUAUGCGGCUUUGGAGGAAGAUGAGAUGCCAGACAUCAAAGAUGAAACAGUACCUGAUGAGGAAGGCAUGCCUAGACCAGGCGCGAUUAACCCUUUAAAAGAGUUUAAGCUUUCCAUUUAUGGGGACCAUUAUGAUGAGGAAACUGAAAAUGCUGGAGACAAAAAGGAAAGUGAUGCCUCCAAAAAGAGAAAAGCUGCUUCCGAAAUUGCAGUUCAUGAGUAUGCAAAGUAUGAUUGGAGUAAACUUGCAGACAAUGGAGAGGUUGGAGAAUUGUUUUGCUUCAGUGAUCUAUGAUUCUAUCUUGCUAAGAGAACUUAAUAAUACAAGGAAAGAGAACUUAGACGUAUUAAAAUUUUGCAUAGUUUAUACAAUAAUGGUGGCUUUUUUAAAAGAAUCCUUAAGCAUGUAGAAAAUGUAUAAAGGCUAACAAUUUAUUUUAGAUUACACCUUAGAUUUCAGAAAAUAAAAAUUUCAUGAUUUUCGACUUGCAGUUGAAGGAUUUUUGACUGUAACAGAGUUAAAGUACUUGGUAAGAAGGAAGCUCUGAUCAGUAGGAUAUUGAGUCAUGUGGGGAAAUAAGCAAGGUGAGUAUGUUUUUUCAUGUAUACCAGUAAUGUUCUUUGACUACAUACACAAGCUGUUCACCAGGGGUCAUUUUGUAUUUGUAGACUGUUUGUUGACACUUGCAUUAGAGAAGUGUUCAUGUAUAUACUUUUCUCUUUAAUAGUACAAUGAAGCGAAAAACAUUUAGGUGCA